rnacentral:lncRNA from 1 species
AAUUUGGGGAAGGGUCUCAGCACCUUUUCUACCAAUACACCCCAGGAGAAAGGAGAGAACUGACAGGUCCCAAAUUGGGUCUGGGGUCUCUGGGAGGGACCAAAUUUGGGUCUGGGGGCUCAGGGGAGGGACCAAAUUUGGGUCUGGGGUCCUGGGAGAGAUCUGGAAUUUGGGUCUGGGGUCUCGAGGGUCUGUCCCUAAUUUAGGGAGGGGUCUCAACCCUUUUUCUCCCAGUAUAACCCAUGAGAAAUCAGAGAUCUGAGAGAUCCUCAAUUGGGUCUGGGGUCUUUGAAGGCUCUAAAAUUUGGGUCUGNAGGUGAGAAACUGGAGACAAUGAGGGGACAAACAGGGGACAGACAGGGGACAAUGAGGUGAGAAACAGGGGACAAUGAGGGGACAAACAGGUGAGAAACGGGGGACAAUGAUGGGACAAACAGGGGACAGACAGGGGACAAUGAGGUGAGAAACAGGGGACAAUGAGGGGACAAACAGGUGAGAAACGGGGGACAAUGAGGGGACAAACAGGUGAGAACCAGGGGACAAUGAGGGGACAAGGAGGGCACAAACAGGUGACAAUUGGGUGAGAACCAGGUGACAAUGAGGGGACAAUGAAGUGACAAACAGGUGAGAAACGUGAGAACAAGAGGACAAACAGGUGACAAACAGGUGACAAUGACGGGACAAACAGGGGACAAAGAGAUGAAAACCAGGUGACAAAGAUGUGACAAACAGGUGACAAUGAGGGGACAGUGAGGGGACAAACAGGUGACAAGCAGGUUCCAACCAGGUGACAGCAAUAUCACAAUGUAGUGAUAACCAGGUGACAAUGAGUGGACAAACAGGUGACAAUCAGGUGACAAACAGGUGAUAAUGAGGGGACAAACACGCGAGAGCAAGGGGACAAUGAGGGGACAAACAGGUGGCAGUGAGGUGACAAACAGGUGACAAAGAGGUGGCAAUCAGGACAAACAGAUGACAAGAGACAAUGAGGCGACACCCAGGUGCCAUCCAGGUGUCCCCAAAGUGCCCCCAAGGUCCCCAGAGUGUCCCCAAGGUCCCCAGCUGCCAUCCAAGUGUCCCCAGUUGUCCCCAAGAGUCCCCAGGUGCCACCAGGAGCCCGCAGGUGCCACCCCAAUGUCCCCAAGGUGUCCCUAAAGUGUCCCCAAGGUGUCCCCAGAUGCCAUCCAGAUGUCCCCAAGUGCCACCUAGACAUCCUCAAGUGCCAUCCAAGCGUCCCCAAAGUGUCCCCAGGUGCCAUCCAGGUGUCCCAAGGUGCCACCCAAGUGUCCCCAAGGUGCCACCAAAUGCCAACCCAGUGUCACCAAAUCCCAUCCAGGUGUCCCCAAAGUGUCCCCAGAUGCCUCCAGGUGUCCCCAAGUGCCAUCCAAUUGUGCCCAAAGUGUCCCCAGGUGUCCCAAGGUGCCACCAAGAGCUCCCAGAUGCCACCUGAGGUGUCCCCAAAGUGCUCCCAAGCUGCCACCAAAUCCCAUCCAGGUGUCCCCAAGUGCCACCCC